GUAGGUGGCAAGCGUUGUCCGGAAUUAUUGGGCGUAAAGCGCGCGCAGGUGGUUCUUUAAGUCUGAUGUGAAAGCCCCCGGCUCAACCGGGGGAGGGUCAUUGGAAACUGGGGAACUUGAGUGCAGGAGAGGAAAGUGGAAUUCCACGUGUAGCGGUGAAAUGCGUAGAUAUGUGGAGGAACACCAGUGGCGAAGGCGACUUUCUGGCCUGUAACUGACACUGAGGCGCGAAAGCGUGGGGUAGCAAACAGGGAUUAGAUACCCUGGUAGUCCACGCCGUAAACGAUGAGUGCUAAGUGUUGGGGGGGUUUCCCGCCCCUCAGUGCUGCAGCUAACGCAUUAAGCACUCCGCCUGGGGAGUACGGUCGCAAGACUG
rnacentral:rRNA from 1 species